rnacentral:rRNA from 1 species
UCCGUAGGGUGCAAGCGUUAAUCGGAAUUACUGGGCGUAAAGCGUGCGCAGGCGGUGAUGUAAGACAGAUGUGAAAUCCCCGGGCUCAACCUGGGAACUGCAUUUGUGACUGCAUCGCUAGAGUACGGCAGAGGGGGAUGGAAUUCCGCGUGUAGCAGUGAAAUGCGUAGAUAUGCGGAGGAACACCGAUGGCGAAGGCAAUCCCCUGGGCCUGUACUGACGCUCAUGCACGAAAGCGUGGGGAGCAAACAGG